ensembl:lncRNA
AUGGAGGCAUAUUUGAAUUGUUGCCAUGGAAACUCUCUCUGUCUCUCCCUCUCUGACUCUCUCUCUCUCUCCCUCUCCCUAUCUCUCUAUCUCCCUCUUUCUUCAUCCUUGCCCUGCCUCUGUCUCUGUCAUUGUCACUAUCUCACUCUUUUCUCCCAUACUUUCCUCUCCGACUUCUCUCACUGGCCAUCUUCUCUAACCUUCCUUCUCAUUGUGUGCUUCAUCACUCUUUCUUCUUCUCCCUUCAUCUUCAGCUCUUCUUUUAUCAUCCUAAUCAUCCCUCCAUCUUCUCAGCACCCAUCCUCCUCCCCCUCGCUGGAUAUCUUCUUGUUGCUGCUGUUCUUCUUCCUCCAACCAGCUCCAUCUGUGUUGUCUAUACCUCCAUUUAUUUUCCCUCCCAUCCUCUUCCUCCUCCUCCUCUCUCUACGUCCCUCCUCCUCCUCUCUCUACAUUCCUCCUCUUCCUCCUCCUCUCUCUACGUUCCUCCCACUCUCUUCCACUCUCUUCCUCCUCCUCUCUCUACGUUCCUCACACUCUCUUCCUCCUCCUCUCUCUACGUUCCUCCCACUCUCUUCCUCCUCCUCUCUCUACAUUCCUCACACUAUCUUCUUCCUCCUCCUCUCUUUAUGUUCCUCCCACUCUCUUCCACUCUCUUCCUCCUCCUCUCUCUACGUUCCUCACACUCUCUUCCUCCUCCUCUAUCUACGUUCCUCUCACUCUCUUCCUCCUCUUCUAUCUACGUUCCUCCCACUCUCUUCCUCCUCUUCUCUCUACGUUCCUCCCACUAUCUUCUUCCUCCUCUUCUCUCUACGUUCCUCCCACUAUCUUCUUCCUCCUCCUCUCUCUACGCUCCUCCCACUAUCUUCUUCCUCCUCCUCUCUCUAUGUUCCUCCCACUCUCUUCUUCCUCCUCCUCUCUCUACGUUCCUCCCACUCUCUCCUUCCUCCUCCUCUCUCUGCUUUCCUCCCACUCUCUUAUUCCUCCUCCUCACCUCUCUCUAUGUUCCUCCCACUCUCUUCCUCCUCCUCCUCACCUCUCUCUACGUUUCUCCCACUCUCUUCCUGCUCCUCCCCUCUCUGCUUUCCUCCCACUCUCUUCCUCCUCCUCCUCUCUCUGCUUUCUUCCCACUCUCUUCCUCCUCUUCCUCACCUCUCUCUACGUUCCUUCCACUCUCUUCCUCCUCCUCUCCUCUCUCUGCUUUCACUCCACUCUACUCCUUCUCUCCUCUCUCUGCUUUCAUCCCACUCUACUCCCCCUCUCCUCUCUCUGCUUUCAUCCCACUCUCGUCCUCCUCCUCUUCUCUCUCUGUUUUCAUCCCACUCUACUCCCCCUCUCCUCUCUCUGCUUUCAUCCCACUCUCGUCCUCCUCCUCUUCUCUCUCUGUUUUCAUCCCACUCUACUCCCCCUCUCCUCUCUCUGCUUUCAUCCCACUCUACUCCUCCACUCUCCUCUCUCUGUUUUCAUCCCACUCUACUCCUCCACUCUCCUCUCUCUGCUUUCAUCCCACUCUACUCCUCCACUCUCCUCUCUCUGCUUUCAUUGCACUCUACUCCUCCUCUCCUCUCUCUGCUUUCAUCCCACUCUACUCCUCCUCUUCUCUCUCUGCUUUCAUCCCACUCUCCUCCUCCUCUCCUCUCUCUGCUUUCAUCCCAUUCUCCUCCUCCUCCUCCUCCUCUCCCCUCUCUGUUUUCAUCCCACUCUAAUCCUCCUCUCCUCUCUCUGUUUUCAACCCACUCUUCUCCUCCUCCUCCUCUCCUCUCUCUGCUUUCAUCCCACUCUCCUCCUCCUCUCCUCUCUCUGCUUUCAUCCCAUUCUCCUCCUCCUCCUCCUCUCCCCUCUCUGUUUUCAUCCCACUCUAAUCCUCCUCUCCUCUCUCUGUUUUCAACCCACUCUCCUCCUCCUCCUCCUCUCAUCUCUCUGCUUUCAUCCCACUCUCCUCCUCCUCUCCCCUCUCUGCUUUCAUCCCACUCUACUCCCCCUCAUCCUCUCUCUGCUUUCAUCCCACUCUACUCCUCCUCAUCCUCUCUCUGCUUUCAUCCCACUCUCCUCCUCCUCCUCUCCCCUCUCUGCUUUCAUCCCACUCUCCUCCUCCUCCCCUCUCUCUGUUUCAUCCCACUCUCCUCCUCCUCCUCCUCUCUCUGCUUUCAUCCCACUCUACUCCUCCUCCUCCCCUCUCUGCUUUCAUCCCACUCUCCACUUCCUCCCCUUCUCCUCUCCCUGCUUUCGUCCCACUCUCCUCCUCCCUUCUCCUUUCUCUGCUUUCAUCCCACUCUCCUCCUCCCUUCUCGUUUCUCUGCUUUCAUCCCACGCUCUUCCUCCUCCUCCUCUCCUAUCUCUGCUUUACUCCCACUCUCUUCCUCCUCCUCCCCCUCUCCUCUCCUCCCAGCAGUGUCCAACCUCACUGAGGAUUGA